rnacentral:lncRNA from 1 species
CCAUCCGCACGGUUCCUAUUGUGGCUGGGCAUCCUCGUUUUCCUGAAUAAACGCACCCCUAGUCUUGAUAAUACAUCGAUUUUGCUUCUUGGGGUAGUUUCCAACUUUGUGGCCUUCUUCACUGCAAUACAAGCAUAGACCUUCCUCCAUACACCGCUUUUUUUCUUCUAGAGUAAGAGAUUUGACACGUACCGCAUCAAUUUACAUGUCUUCUACCUCUGAAUGUGAAUUCACGCUGCUUGCCGACAUAGUUGGGGUGUGGCGAAUCGUAUGUUGUCUUAAACGUUGGUCUUGGCGACGUUGGAAUAGGCGGUUAUCAC